GGAGAGGUCGCAUAGUGGCCUAGUGCGCAGUCCUGGAAAGACUGUAUGCCUUAACGGGUAUCGAGGGUUCGAAUCCCUCCCUCUCCG
rnacentral:tRNA from 1 species